ensembl:lncRNA
AAACAGUUGGAUAGGCCUGUUGACUUGGUUCCCCAUGCUAGUAGGCUGUAUUGUGGGUCUCUCAUUCCUGGAUUCUCUGGUCAGGGACACUAGAUAAUCAGAUUUGAUACUCAGCCAUAGGUGGGCUAUAAGCCAACUGUUCUGCCCUGGAUGUGGUGGUGGUAGGGGACUCAGCAGACUGGGCCUUGUUGUUUGGGGGUUCAAAUCAAGCAAGAUUGUACACCGAUUUCCCUGGUUAGGCAGGUCAUCAAUUUUGUCCUGCGAAUAGAGAAAGCCAUGGGAUGUACUCUGUGUUCAAGUACUUCUGUGAAUAGGGCUGUGAAUGUGUUGUGCAGUUCCCCAUGUGCCUCUGAUCAGGGGGGUUGAACACUGUAUUUACCAAUAGGUUAUGAAUUAGUUUCCCUGCCUGGGCAGGGGCAGAUCAGGCUCCAGGAUUGGCAGAUCAGGCUCCACCCAGCUUCAAGUUCAGCAAGGCUCUUUGUGGUCUUAUCUCAAGCCAACUCACUCUCAUAUCUCAUGGCUGAAAGGUUCACUGGCUUUCCUCUGAUAACCAUCAGCUCUGCCUGCCAGACUCUGUAUAUGAUUGGGCUAUAUACCUUCCAGGUAUUCCCAAUCAUGCUUUGUGGUCAGGAAGGGCUGGGAGCUAUAUGCAGUAGUGUAUUGGGCUAAGAUUCAACUCCCCUGCCUGGGCAGUGGCAGAUCAGGCUCCAGGACUGGCAAAGUUUUUUAUUUGAGGAACUGAAUUAUGCAGACCUUCACUCUGUUGAGAUCCCUGGUCAGACUGUACCACUGUCUUGGCUCCACAAAUGAGCAAAGCUACUGGUUGGGGACCACACCAUGGGCCUUGCAGGUAGGAACUUGGUCUGCCAUCAUCCAAGUGAUAGUUAUUGCAAGCCCCUCCAGGAUUCUCCAUCAUGGAUUCCCAGAGGUCAAGUUCUGGAUGUUCUCCCACAAUCCCUAUGGGACAAAUCUGGAGUGGGAGCUUCCAAGAAGCAACCCACUAUUCUAGGGGAGCUUAUGUCCACCCUAGGCCCUCUUUUCCAACUGUAGGUACUGUAGAUUUGGGAAGAUCUCUUGGCACAGCAGUGUACCGUCCUGGGGGUGGGGCAAUGUGGUCAGUGUGUCGCCAUUCCUUUUACCUUCUGAUGUGGUCUGUUUGAUGUCUGUGGUGCAGGAUGGUGCUUUAGCCUCAGCUUUGUGUUUAGGAUUCUCUCAGUGUUGUCUUAUACAUGAAUAGUUGUUAAUUGUCCUUUUUAUGAAGGAAAACAAAAUCAGGAAGGACUUAUCAUCUUAGUAAUAUUACUCCUAAUUUACAUUUUUUUUGGUAUUUUUAGGGCCACACUAAUGGCAUAUGGAAGUUCCCAGGCUAAAGGUUGAAUUGGAGCUGUAGCUGCCAGCCUAUGCUCCAGCCACAGCAACGCCAGAUUCGAGCCAUGCCUAUGACCUACACCACAGCUUAUGGCAAUGCUGAAUCCUUAACUCACUGAUCAAGGCCAGGGAUUAAACCCACAUCCUCAUGGAUACUAGUCAGUUUUGUUACUGCUAAGCCAUGAUGGGAACCCUCCUAAUUUACAUUUUUGUCUAAUGUUUUCUCAUAAAUAUUAUAUGUAUAAAUAUAUUAAAAUUUUAAUAACAUGCCAUAUAAUAAAUACAUAAUAUAGAUAUUUUUAUAUUAUAUGAAUUAUAUAAAGAUUCUAUCAAAAUAGAUUAAUAUUUAGUAUAUUACUGUAGCUAGUGGUACAGUCUUCCUUCUAUCAGUUCUCUUGAUAAUAAAACCACCCUCAGUGAUUGCUGAGUCUGAGAGCUUUCAUUUAUCAUGUUUUUAAUAUUAUAUCCUCUAAAUUUGGAAGGAGAAAAUUGGGCCCUUUGCUUGCUGGACUGGUGAUGCCCUUGCCAAUCUGUAACAAUAGUUGCUGUUUUGAGGCACACUAUUAAAUAACCCUGGUGAUCAGAGUGUGGAAACUCAGUAUCAGGACACCAGUUCCUGAAAUAGUGGUACCUACAGGUCCCAAGAUAACAGUGUUCCUCAAGCACAGGAGAUGAGCAGAACACUCUCAAAAUUAUCUUUUAAAACCUUAGGCUAAUGUGAUAUCCUUUUUACUAAGAAUUCAAGACCUUUUCACAUAUAGAUAAGAGAAAAUGAUACUCUGUUGCAGGACAUAUUAUAGCAUUGAGAAAUAGGAAGGGCAGAUUAUCCACUCACCUUUCCUACCCUCAAUAUUCAGCCCCUUACUGCAAGAAUGGCAAUAGAAUCUCUGCAUAUUUUGUGGCUCCAUAAGAUGAAUCAUACUUAGCUAUGUUACUGAAAGGAGAUAGUUUACCAUGAUUUCAUUUUGUGCUUUCAACAUUCCUUGAUGUAUCAGUUGAUUCUGGAAAUACAUACAGAAAAUCUGGUCACUAGGUGAGAAAUACAUGCUUUUUAUUUUUAAAGAUAUUUUAUUUGCUUGGCUAUAACUUCUUUUUCAAAUUUCCUAUUUCUAUGGACUAAUGAGGAAUAAUAACUUGCUAAAGUGUUAGUUAAGGCCAGGGAUAUUAAAUUUGCUCUAUUUUCAUUCUGGUUAGAAACUGCAGGUAGAAAUCAAUAUUAGCAGGAUUAGCUGAUUGAUGCCUUUGGUACCCAUGAUCUAAUAUGCAGUCAGUCAACUACAGUUAAACCUUGAACAAUACGGCGGUUUGGACCACCCUGAACAGUUAAAAAUCUGCAUAACUGCAUAUGUAUAUCUUUAAGGUCAACUUUCCACAUCUGUAUUUCCACAUCAUUGUAUUCAAGCAACCAACCUCAGAUGAUGAAGUACUGCAGAGUGUAUUUAUUUUUAAAAGUCUGUGUAUAAAUGGACCCAUACAGUUCAAGUCUGUGUUGUUCAAGGGUCGACUGUGCUUUGUUUUCUAUUUUACACAAGACCAUCAGAGAGCAAUUUACGUGAUGGUCCUCUCUAAUCCUGGAGCUAAAGCAAAUGAAAAAUUGUAAGUGAAUUGAUACCUCAUGCAUAUGCAUGACCUGUCAGUAGUGAUGCCUUACAGGAGCAUCUUUUCUUAUUCACGCUCUGUGGAACACUAACCCUCCCCCUGCAAGCAGCUACAGCAAGAAAUGCUGCACACCACAUUCCUGUCUUCUUAAGUAUUCCUACUGCACCAAUAUAUACUAACAGCUGAAGAAUUUUGCAAUAAAGCAACCUGUUUAAUUUUGUAUAUUCCAUCCAGCUUUGCUCAGAGUUAUUCUCACAGCCUAUUCCUCUUUUUAUUUUUUUCCCUCUGAGUAAAUACCAUCAACAUUCUUUGGGAACAGUAUUCCAAGAUCAUGUUUUGGAGAACACUGCUCUUGACCAUUUAAAAGUGAGUCAUGCCCAAAGUAAAAUAGGACUAGCCAAGUUCAAAAUCUUUUAUAUUGCUUUAAAAAUAUUUUACCUUGGCUUUUAGUUCUAUGACAAGAUAAAAUUCUCUAAGUUAUCCCAAGUAUUUUUAACCCAUUGUCAAUUGGUUAGAGGAAAAUGAAAGUGUCCUAGUGAAAUAGAAUAGGGGAUAAAAAUGAGGAAAUCUAAAUCCUGGGUGUGGGCUGAGGGAGGUUUAACCUUUGCUUGGGGAUUUAAGAUUUUGGUCAGCUGUCAUGCUGGACACGCUUAGUUCACUGCACUCCUCAGUUCAUAGAAAUUUAAAAUAUGGUUAGUCCAAACCAAAUGUUAAUCCCAAUUGGCAGUGAGAGCUAUCCAGGAAUUCUGGGCCUGACUCCUGAUUCUCCAAGUCCCUGGGCCAGAUGCAAGACCACUGGGGAAUAGUGACUCAAGAAGAUGAUGUAGUGGUUGGCAGUAUCAUAGGUGAAUCAAGAGGAGAAAGGGUCCAGGUGGGAGUGGCUGAAAAUGAGAUGUAUAGUGUGCUAUGUGUGAGGGACCCUGUGUGAGCAGAGAGACAAAGCAUACCUCAGGGACUCUGAGAAACCAAGCUGAGUCAAUUACAGACACAAGAAGAGGACAGUUAGGUCACAGCGAGAGUUGAAUUGUAGGUUGGAGUUGCUUAGUAAUAAUAAAUAUAAGUUUAUAACAGACAUGACAGCAGUAUUUAUCACACUUUCAGCAUUUGGGAAUGAUUGUUAUUAGAAGGAAAAUUACAACUCCAACCAGAAAUUACCACUAUUUGCAUAUGGUGCAGUUAAGUUGUAGUCGUCUUGCAACACUUCCCAUUUUAUUGUCUUUGGCAUGCAGUUAGAAAGCUUCCUCAUUCUAAUACUUGAAAGUCAUGUAAGUCCUCAAACUGAGUGAUGUCUUUUACAUACUACCCAUCAUAGUAACUUCAAGAUCUAAUCUUUAACUGGUUUAGGAAUUGCAACCUCACUUGAGUAAACAUGAGAGGGACAAGUCCAGGAGCAAGCACCUGUACAUCAGGGCUGAGUUGAAUUUUACAGGCUUUCUAAAGCUCAAGACAGUCUGCUUGCAGAGAAUACAAUGUGCUCACUGAGGUUGCAGUAAAAGAGGGACAAUUAGGCAGUAUUAUAGAUGUCACAAUGGUUUUGCUACUUUCUUUUAGCUUUUUGGCUAAUUACAUGAGAAGAUUCAAUUGAUGACCUCUUUUUCUCAGCUAGAACUCUUGAAAGAGUUAUAUAUACUUUUUUUUUUCUUACUCUUUCUAACACUUCUCUCAGUCUUGGGCAACCUGGUUUCUGCCACCACCAUUCUGCCCCAGCUUUCCUUGAAGGUCCAGCUUAAGAAUAGGAACUGCUAAUUACUGAUGCUUCCUUCCUAAAACAUGCUCUUUUCUUGGCUUCUGUGGCUGUUCUCCUACUGUACUUGGCAUUCCGGUUAGGUUCCUUUGGAAAAGCUUCCUCUCCUAACCUAUCCUUUAAAGUUAGUGUUUCUUAGGAUUUUGUCUAGUCUUGUCUUUUUACUUUAUACACUUCCUGGGGAUGAAUUCAUUCACUUCCAUGGCUUUAAUUAGAGCUCUGCGUCACUCUUGAGUUCCUCUUGCAUAUUCUACAUGCACCUGAAAAACAGCUCUUCUAAGGCUGAGCACAUCACUUCACCCCGCCAAAACCAAUCCACUUUUGCAUUCCUUCUGUUGAAGACUGACACCUCUAUCCAUCAUCUUGCCCAACCAUCUAAAUAAAGCCCUCUUAAUUCCCACAAAUUAAUCAACAGAUCCUGUCAAUUCAAUCCUGUUAAUAUUGCCUGAGUACUUGCCACCUUCAUUUCAAACUUGAACUGCCCUUGUUCAGAUCACAGAUAGCUUUCAUUGAGUUUGUUAUAACAUCCUUCAAUUGAUUUUCCUCACAGUAGCCAAAAUGAUCUUCCUAAAAUAUUAUCUGUCAUGCCUCUCUCACCUAAAGCCCUCAGUGUCUCCACUUUGCCCUCAGUACAUCUAGUACCAAGUGUAGAUUGCAGCCUGCAUUAUAGAUUUUUUCCCAUUCAUCUCUCAGCCACACCCUUGCCAAUCCCUAACCUGUACAUGAACCUGUAGCUACAUGUAACUUGUUUGUGCUCUUGUAGGU